rnacentral:rRNA from 1 species
UACGUAGGGGGCAAGCGUUAUCCGGAUUUACUGGGUGUAAAGGGAGCGUAGACGGCAGCGCAAGUCUGGAGUGAAAUCCCAUGGCUUAACCAUGGAACUGCAUUGGAAACUGUAUUUCUAGAGUGUCGGAGAGGCAAGUGGAAUUCCUGGUGUAGCGGUGAAAUGCGUAGAUAUCAGGAGGAACACCAGUGGCGAAGGCGGCUUGCUGGACGAUGACUGACGUUGAGGCUCGAAAGCGUGGGGAGCAAACAGG